UAUCAGGGAAAAUCCAGAAUUAUUUCAGCCUUAAAAAAAGGAAAAAAUCCUUUAAAAUUCGCACUGAGAAACACAAAAAUCCCCCAGAAAUAGCAGAAAAAAUUGACAGAAAAACUGCCAACAUCUGAACUAAAAAAACAAAAAACCCAGUGAGAUUCCAGGGAUUUCUGAGGAAAAAAAACUGGGGAAAUGAGUGGGCAAAAUAUCCGGAGGAAAUGUGACUUAAAAUGGACCAAAAACUCCUAAAAUGGGGCAAAACCUGCACUCGGCAUCCCAGCCCAGGGAAAACUCCUGGAAUUCAACCCUGAGCUGGCUCCAAGUGCUUCCCAAAGGGGAAAAUCGCUGCUGGGGGGGUUUGGUGGCUGCACCCCCCGGGGUGGGAGCUGCCCUGUGAGGGGAAUAAUUCCAUCCCAAAGUCCCAUUUAAAACUCAUCCACACGGGGAGCAGCUGAGGUUUGGGAAGUGCCCGGUGCCCAAGGGCACAAUCCCAUUCAAUUCCCGAAAUCCCAUCCCGUCCAAUGCCAUCCCAUUCAAUUCCCGAAAUAUCAUCCCAUCCAAUCCCAUCCCAUUCAAUUCCCAAAAUCCCAUCCCAUCCAAUUCCAUAUAAUCCCAUCCAAUUCCAUCCCAUCCCAUCCAAUUCCAUGUAAUACCAUCCAAUCCCACCCAAUCCCAAUCCAAUUCCAUCCCAUCCCAUCCCAUAUAAUACCAUCCAAUUCCACCCAAUCCCAUCCCAUCCCAUCCAAUCCCACCCAAUCCCAAUCCAAUUCCAUCCAGUCCCAAUCCAAUCCCAUCCCAAUCCAACUCCAUCCCAUCCCAUCCAAUCCAAUCUCAUACAAUCCUAUCCCAUCCCAUUUUAUCCCAUCCCAUCCAAUCCCAUCCCAUCCUAUCCCAUCCCACUCCCUGCCCAGUGAGAUUCCAGAAAUUUUUGAGGAAAAAGCCGGGAAAAUGGGUGGGCAAAAUACCCGGAGGAAAUGCCACUUAAAACGGCCCCGAAAGCCUGGAAAUCACACCAAAAAUGGCCCCAAAAACCUCCUGAAAUCCACACUAAACCACCUAAACUCGGCCAAAAUUCCAAGGAUUUCUGGGAAAAGCAUCGGGAGCUGCCCCGCGAGGGGACAGCAGGAGCUGCCCUGUCCCCAAAGGCAGCGCCUGCGCUGCCACGGGGGGAGCAGCAGAUGGGGACACUGGCCUGAAAGAGCAGCUCCAUCAGCUGCAGCCAGCAGACCUUCUGCUUCCCCAAUUCCAA
rnacentral:lncRNA from 12 species